rnacentral:rRNA from 1 species
AACGAACGCUGGCGGCAUGCCUAACACAUGCAAGUCGAACGAGACCUUCGUGUCUAGUUGCGCACGGGUGCGUAACGCGUGGGAACCUUCCCUUAUGUUCGGGAUAACUCUCCGACAGGGGUGCUAAUACCGGAUAAUUUCUUCUGACCAAAGAUUUAUCCCCUUUGGAUGGGCCCGCGUUGGAUUAGCUAGUUGGUAGGGUAAAAGCCUACCAAGGCGACGAUCCAUAGCUGGUCUGAGAGGAUGAUCAGCCACACUGGGACUGAGACACGGCCCAGACUACUACGGGAGGCAGCAGUGGGGAAUAUUGGAAAAUGGGCGAAAGCAUGAUCCAGCAAUGCCGCGUGAGUGAUGAAGGCCUUAGGGUUGUAAAGCUCUUUAACCCGGGAUGAUAAUGACAGUACCGAGAGAAUAAGCACCGGCUAACUUCGUG